rnacentral:rRNA from 1 species
UACGGAGGGCGCGAGCGUUAAUCGGAAUUACUGGGCGUAAAGCGCGCGUAGGCUGUUGUGUAAGUUGGGGGUGAAAUCCCACGGCUCAACCGUGGAACAGCCCUUGAUACUGCGCGACUUGAAUCCGGGAGAGGGUGGCAGAAUUCCAGGUGUAGGAGUGAAAUCCGUAGAUAUCUGGAGGAACAUCAGUGGCGAAGGCGGCCACCUGGACCGGUAUUGACGCUGAGGCGCGAAAGCGUGGGGAGCAAACAGG